GGAUUAUAAAAAGGAGAAUCACCAAGUCAGUCAUUGUUACAGAUAAUUCUGCUAAUGUUUAAGUAAAAAUUAUAUAAAACAAUCUGAUUUUAUCUUGUUAACAAUGAUAUCCUGGAGAGUUAAGUUCAUGACUGUGUGCAACUUCUGAAGAAAUUACCAUGUAUUCAAAUGUUAUUGUCUUUGCUCACAGCAUUUCUGCACCUGCUAUCUUAUAAUUGUCAAUAGAGAAUAUUCACAUCUGCAAAGAAUGUAUCUUAUUUCAUUACAAUUAUAAGAUACUUCACUGGAUGUAAUUUUUUUCUCCUUCUGUCAUUCUUCCUGACCCCUUUUAAAAAUUUUUGCUUUGCUCUGUGCCCUUUUUCCAUCAGCCCUCGUGUCAGUUCCCUGGUGGGGUGUGCUGGGGACGUGCAGGGGGCACACUGAGGAGAGAUGCUGGAAGCAAACUGGAGAAUGAAAACUGGAGACCACAGUCAUGGUCCCUCUACAGAAGGUCUGGCCUCCAGUUGGUCUCUUGGCCAAAACACAGGGGAUGUGCUGUUUCUACAUAGGCAAGCUGUAACUUUAACAUAAACAAGCUGAUUUUCCUCUCCUUGCAUUUUCUUUUUGUUUUGUUGUUGUUUCUCCUGGUCAGGAAGAAAUGACUGGUUCUGUUCUUAUGUUGAGGGACCUUGUGAGCUUCUCUAGUAAGGGUUGUCUCUCUUUGAAUCCCAUUAUCAGUGGGCAGAUGGAGUUCCAGACCCUUCUUCAUCGCAACCUUCAGAGCUCUGUCCAGAGCCUGGGAUCUGUCCAGGUGCAUUUGCCUGGUGACCUUGCUGGGCACAGUCCUGCUGGGGUGGAGACACAGAGCCCAUGCUACAUUAGCCAGCUUAGACUCUUCAAGAAGAACCCAUAUCCAGGGGGCCAAGUUCCUGGGCAGGUACAAGCUGUCAGAUGACCUGCCACUUCUAAUGACCAUUUCAAAUUUACAGUAAUUGGGCUUUAAUGACAAAAAGACAGAUUAGGUUGGCACAUUUGCACCUGGAUUUUUUUGCAUGUUUUCACCCUCUCAGUGCCAAGAGGGGCUACUUAGAACAUGUUGUUGACUCUACUCCUCUUAGAAGGUUAGGUUCUCUGGAAAAACCCUGACAAAAUGAGAUGUCACUUGUAUCUGGGUCACUGGGCCCAUUCAGUGUUUCCUUGAGGCUUUCUAAUCCAUUGCCAGAGAACAGAAGGCUCUGGCGGGUUGCAGCAUGUGAUGCAGUGAUUAUGCAAGCACUAUGGCCAAUCAUGUCUUUAGAAUGAUGAAGACAUUGUUCUAAAAUCAAAUGGGGAGUAUACCUGAAUUACACUUAAGAAGGGGCUGCUGAGAAUGUGGCAGCGCAUACCACCCUUCCUCCAUGCUCUCCAGAGAGGCACAGCCAGGCUGAACCUGUGGGAUGGCUCCUGGCUCCCUGGGAGGUCAGA
rnacentral:lncRNA from 1 species